GUGAGUAUAGCUCAGUGGUAGAGCACAUACUUAGCAAUCAUGAGGUCCUGGGUUCAAUCCCCAGCACCUCCG
rnacentral:tRNA from 1 species